UAUCUUCGUAUGCAAGGGAGAAAAGCCA
rnacentral:sRNA from 1 species